GGGUUGUUCCGGUGUUUCCAAGUGGUGUUUACACUAUUUUUUUCCAUAACAUCUAUGGCGUAUCCUUUCAGAGGUUUUUCAGCACUGGUCAGCUUCUUUGUCUGGGCCUCAUUAACCCGAUAAAUGAACACGGCAGUACAAAUCAUUAGCAACUUCAGUGACAUCAGGAUGGCCACGCAGUUAUGGGUGAACAGGGAGUAGAGGAGGGGGCUGAGCAAGCACCCUUGUGGGGCCCUUGUGUUAGAGGAUCAGCGUAGUGGAGGUGUUGUUGUCUACUUUUACCACCUGGGGACGGCCCGCCAGGAAGUGCAUGACCCAGUCUGACAGGAUACCCACAGGUGUUGUGCCAUCAAGUUUGCAGAUGACACAACAGUUAUAGGCCUAUUUACCAAAAAAGACCAGACAAAGCGAGCACGCCCCCACCCACAUCGACGGGGCCGCAGUGGAGAAGGUGAAAGCUUAAAAUUCCUCAGUGUACCCAUCACUGAAAUCUGAAAUGGUCCACACACACAGACAGUGUGGUGAAGAAGGCCCAACAGCGACUGUUCAACCUCAGGAGGCUGAAGAAAUUUGGCUUGGCCCCUAAGUUCCUCACAGACUUUUACAGAUGCACCAUUGAUAGCAUCCGGUCAGGCUGUAUCACCACCUGGUACAGCAACUGCACUGUCCACAACCACAUGGCUAUCCAGAGGGUGGUGUGGUCCACCCAAUGCAUCACCUGGGGGCACACUACUUGCCCUCCAGGACAUCUACCGCACCUGGUGUUACAGGAAUGCCAAUAAGAUCACCAUGGACCUCAUCUACCUGAGUUACGGCCUACGUAAAUUCCUGAGAAGACCCUGCCACAUGGCCACAUAGUAUAAGAGGCAGAGGAAAUUUUCAUGGAGCACACAGAACUUGAGGUACGAACAAAUUUCAUGUUCUUGAGAAAGUAUAAAAGAUCGGUGAAGAAUCCAGCUACGAACUGGUCUCUUUGUCACAACUUGGGGAAGCUCAUUGGAGACGGUGUGGCCAUAUUACCAUAACGAUGUUUAUAUAAUAGCCUCAGAUAUGACGUUUACAUCUAAAUGUUGUAUAAGAUGAAUGAGUGAGAAUGUUACUGUUUGUAAAAUUGUGUAAUAUGAUUUUGAACUGUUUAAUGAAGAAAAACUCAAAAAGGGGAUUGGAGUUAACUAAAUCAGAGGACCGCCCCUGAGCCCAGUUAGGGUCAGGCGUCCUGGGACAGCCCUUUUCUGCCAUUCCGAAUAAAACCCAACUUUGAGAAAUUAUCACCAGACCAUGUUUUUCUCCAUUAGGAGGAGACAAAGGUUGUUGACCAUUGCUGAAUCUUUUAACCAUACCACGUGGUUAAACUCUUAGACUAUCGAUACCGACAGAAUAUGAACAAGUCUUUGAUAUUAAUUACUAGUCUGCAGCUAGGAAUUCGGUAUCAUUGAACGUGAAGCACGACAACCUCUGAAACAUCCACUCUAUAACGAAGCAAAUGAAUGUCACUCUGAACUAUACACUAUAACCACGACAGAGAGAGAGAGGGCGAGAGACGGACAAUUCUACAAAAGAAACUAACUUCACCAGCGAUCAAGACGACACACUGAGCGUAAAUAUAUAUAUUGAGUGCAAUUGUUCCCGAAUGAGUGAGCGUUCAUGUGCAAAGGACUAGCAUUUCAGUUGUUAUAAUUAUCACUCUGUAGUGACUUCUUAGUCAGCCCCCACUUCCCCUUUUGCCGGUUAAGCCCACUUGGGCACAUUCUCCUAUAAUUUCUUGUAACCAUAUUUUCUGUAUGUUUAUGCAUUUCUGUGAAUUACUUAGUUUGUAAUAAAUAAAUGAUUUAAGACAA